rnacentral:lncRNA from 1 species
AAAUGUGACAUCUUUGGGGGGAAACGUUGUCAAAACUGAAGUAUUUAAGAAAUCAACUGUGCAAGAAACAAAUAACACGAAGACGAAAAUUAAAGAUACGCCAAGAAUUGAUUCGAGUGCAGAUAGUUUGUGUCAAUCUGAUUUACGCUUAGCUGCUGAUACAAUUACUAAGACACCAGAGGAAGCCACUGAAAUAGCAAAAGGUGACGAUAUUAAUCUGACUCCUGACUCGAUGCCAUUGGCCGUGUUUCUUCGCCACGCACAGAAGAAGGUAAAAGCUAAUACUGAACCAAGAACUCACAAGGAAAGAAAAAAAAUGGUAAGUACACAAAUCGUAGUACAGUAAUAGAAUGGAUAAAGUGCAAUAUGGGAAGAAAGCACUGUAGCCCGUCUGGGGAAUGGACC